CCCGAAAGGGUGGCUAAUACCGGAUAACGCCCCCACUGGCACAGGCCAGAGAAGGGAAAAGCCUUGGCGCUUCGAGAGUGGGCUCGCGUCCCAUUAGCUAGUUGGUGAGGUAACGGCUCACCAAGGCGAAGAUGGGUAGCUGGUCUGAGAGGAUGAUCAGCCACACUGGAACUGAGACACGGUCCAGACUCCGUACGGGAGGCAGCAGUGGGGAAUAUUGCGCAAUGGGCGAAAGCCUGACGCAGCAACGCCGCGUGGGUGAAGAAGGUCUUCGGAUCGUAAAGCCCUGUCAGGAGGGACGAAACAAAUGACGGUACCUCCAAAGGAAGCACUGGCUAACUCCGUG
rnacentral:rRNA from 1 species